rnacentral:rRNA from 1 species
GACGUAGGAGGCAAGCGUUGUUCGGAAUUACUGGGCGUAAAGCGCACGUAGGCGGCUUGGUAUGUCGGGUGUGAAAUCCCCGGGCUCAACCUGGGAACUGCAUCCGAAACUGCCUUGCUCGAGUAUGGGAGAGGGAAGUGGAAUUUCCGGUGUAGCGGUGAAAUGCGUAGAUAUCGGAAGGAACAUCAGUGGCGAAGGCGACUUCCUGGACCAAUACUGACGCUCAGGUGCGAAAGCGUGGGGAGCAAACAGG